GGCCUUUUGAAUUUAAUAUAAGGUCUGACCUGCCCAGUGAUAAUUUUAACGGCCGCGGUAUAUUGACCGUGCAAAGGUAGCAUAAUCAUUAGUCUUUUAAUAGAGGGCUGGAAUGAAAGGUUUGACGAGGAACUGGCUGUCUCAUUUUAUUUGUUUUAAAAUUUAAUUUUUUAGUUAAAAAGCUAAAAUUUUAUUGGUAGACGAGAAGACCCUAUAGAGCUUUACAUGUAAUUAUUUUGAUAUUUUUAUAUUAAUAUUUCUAAUUAACUAUGUGUUUUGUUGGGGUGACAAAAAUAUAUAAUUAACUAUUUUAUUUAGUUAACAUUGAUUUAUGAAUAUUGGAUCCAUUAUUAUUGAUUGUUAGACUAAGUUACCUUAGGGAUAACAGCGUAAUCCUCCUCCAGAGUUCAUAUUUACAGGAUGGGCUUGCGACCUCGAUGUUGGAUUAAGAUAAUAAUUAGGUGUAGCCGCUUAAUUAAUAGGUCUGUUCGACCUUUAAAUUCUU
rnacentral:rRNA from 1 species